rnacentral:pre_miRNA from 1 species
AAUAGCGAAAUGAUAAAUCAGAUUUUUUUCUCUUAAUUUUUAACUUUUUCUUCCUCAAAAAAUUCAAAUCCAACUAAAAAUACUAAAAAUCAGGAAGAAAAACCUGAUUUGUCAUUUUUUUAUU